rnacentral:rRNA from 1 species
GACGAACCGAGCGAACGUUGUUCGGAAUCACUGGGCUUAAAGGGUGCGUAGGCGGGCUGCCAAGUUUGAGGUGAAAUCCUCCGGCUCAACCGGGGAAGUGCCUUGAAUACUGGCGGUCUGGAGGGAGGUAGGGGCGUGCGGAACUAACGGUGGAGCGGUGAAAUGCGUUGAUAUCGUUAGGAACUCCGGUGGCGAAGGCGGCCCACUGGCUCGAGUACUGACGCUGAGGUGCGAAAGCGUGGGGAGCAAACAGG